rnacentral:lncRNA from 1 species
GAGAUGAUAUCCCUGGAACAGUAAGCAGUAGCAGUUACAACUAACCUUUACUGGUGAGUGUGUGACUAGGGGAGCCCUGCUACAAAUGCUUGUGGGGUUAUGGAGGGAGCUUCUGUUGCUGCAGGUGUUUCGCAUGAUGAACCUGUACAUGGUGGAAUAACUGCUGAUGGUCCACCACUCCGGAGGCUGAUCCAGCAAAGCUGAAGUUCCCAGCAUCGUGUGUCGCCAACUCAAGCGUCCACCACUGCUGCUCCUUAGGUUUUUGUCUUCAUUUGAGUUAAAAUAAAUUGUUUAAGAUCACGCUACUUAUUUCAAUGCUUUUGUUGUUGGGUUUUUUUUUUUUUACUUUUUCUUAGCGUUGUCAUCACGAAAACUUUGUAUCAGCAGUGGUUUAAAAAAAAAUAUUUAUUGCUCUUCAACAAACUACAUUCCUGUUUGUUUAAAAAUAAGCUAUAUUCCUGUUGCUA